rnacentral:hammerhead_ribozyme from 1 species
AUCCAGCUGACGAGAAACAAGUAGGACGAAACGCGCGUCCUGGAU